ensembl:lncRNA
CCCCCCUCCCCCCCUUUCCUGGAAUUCCCACAGAAUUCCCACUCCAAGGAAAAAAAGGAAAAACCAUUCCCGAAUUUUUCCCUCCUCCGAAAUUCCAGAGAUUUUUUUUGGGAAAGGGAUAAAAAAUUCCCCGGAUUUGGAGCUUUUCCCUCUGGGAAUUCUCCGCUCCAGAGGGAAAUGGGAUCAAAGCCAUUCCCGGGGUUUUUUUGGGAUGGGCAGAGCGGGAAAAUCCCUUGGGAAGAGGGAGGGAAGAGGAGCCGGAGUCUCCUGGAAUUUUGGGGUCUCGGUUUCCCGGAAUUCCCAACGCUCCCAGGGCUCCUUUUCCCGGGAUUUGCUCUCCGGGAUGUUCCAGGGCAGGUGGGGGGGAUUGGGAUCCUCCUGCACCCACGUUCCCAAAUAUCCGUCCCAAAUUCCCAGAUCUCCUUCCCAAAUCCCCAUCCCCAACCCCAAAGUUCCAUCCCCACCUUCCCAAAUUCCAUUCCCAAUUCCCAAAUCUCCAUCUCACGUUCCCAGAUCUCCCUCCCCGAUCCCACGGGGAAAUCCCGGAUUUUCCCGCCCUUAUUGCUCUGGAAAAUGGCUUCGAUUUGGGAUCCUGCUUCCCAAAAAAAAAACCCCAAACCCCCAAAUUCCAUGGAUUCUUUGAAAUUCCAUGGAUUCUUCGAAAGAGGAGGGGGGGGGGAGAACCCCCAAAAAAUUCCAACCUGAUUUUUGGGAAGAGGGAACAGGGGGAGACUUGGGACCACCCCACCCCCCUCCCUUUUCCCAGUUUGUUUUCCUCUUUUCCCAGAUUUUUCCCUUUGGGAAUGGAUGUCCCCAGGUGCCACCAACCCGCGAAGCGAAGCAGGGAGAGGAGGGAGCGCAUUCCCAGCAGGGAUCCCCCUGGAAAAGCCGAUCCCGGGAAUCCCGGAAUUCCUUCCCGCGGCAGCAGCGAAGCGGCUCCCACCCCCUCCCCCACUGUCCCUCCCCGUGUCCCCUCAUUGCGCAGAAUUCCAGGGAAUUCGGAGCUGGAGCCGGGAAUGUCCCGCUGGGAUUUGGGAUUCUUUAGGGAGAAGCGGCACCGGCGGCGGGAUCGGGGUUGGGAUUUAGUGCAAGAAACGCUGCCCAUGCACGGAAUUCCCGGGAAACGCGCCCCAUUCCCGGCUGGGAAACUCCUGGGAAGGAUCUCCGGGAUUUGGGAUCCGGGAUCCAGGCGGGGGAGCGGACGGAGCAGGGCUGAGGCACGGCUGAAUCGGGCUCGUCCCGGGGAUCCCGGGAAUUCCAGGAAUUCCAGGAGCGGGAUGUGUCUCCCGGAGGACCCAAAGGCUGGAGCGCGGCGUCUCUGGGGUCAAGCGGGAGUGUGGGAGAGUUUGGGAUGCUCCAAAAAACCGGGAUAGCUGCCCCCGGUACCCACGGAAACCGGGAUGCUCCAAAAACCGGGAUGCUGCAGCCGCGCCGGGAUAACUCGCGCCGUGCCCCCGGUACCGGGAGUUCGCCGCCGCGCCGCUCUCAGGCCUCGCCCGCUGUCCCCCCGCGGGCCCCGGGGCGGUGGCGGCGGCCGGGGGAACCCGGGGGGGACACAGCCCGGGGGACCGGGGGGACACGGGGGGACACAGCCCGGGGGACCGGCGGGACACGGGGGGACACAGCACAGAG